GAAAAACUAUAAGAGGUCCAGCCUGCCCAGUGAUAAAUUAAACGGCCGCGGUAUCCUAACCGUGCGAAGGUAGCAUAAUCACUUGUUCUUUAAUUAAGGACUCGUAUCAACGGCAUCACGAGGGUUGUACUGUCUCCUUUCUCCAAUCAGUGAAACUGAUCUCCCCGUGAAAAAGCGGGGAUACACCAAUAAGACGAGAAGACCCCAUGGAGCUUUAAACCUUACAGCAACUCUGCCAUACAAUCCUUUAUAGCCCUCAGAGUUAUGCAUGUUAGUUUUUGGUUGGGGCGACCGCGGAGUAAAAACCACCCUCCACGACAAAAAGAGCUAAAUCUUUAUCUAAGAGCCACCGCUCUAAGAAUUAGAACACUAAUGUACCAUGACCCGAUAAUCGAUCAACGAAUCAAGUUACCCUGGGGAUAACAGCGCCAUCUACUUCAAGAGUACAUAUCGACAAGUGGGCUUACGACCUCGAUGUUGGAUCAGGGUAACCAAGUGGCGCAGCCGCUACUAAUGGUUCGUUUGUUCAACGAUUAAAACCCUACAUGAU
rnacentral:rRNA from 1 species